UACAUCCUGAGAUGUGCGUAAGGUGAUUAGUUGUUUAAUCCGAACACUUCUGAUAAAGGGAUCUGGAAGUUCUAUUAUUGUGUUGAAAGCCUAGCCCACCAUGGCCUAGGAAUCCUAAUGUAAUAGACAGGAGCCCACCUGCUAAUUUAGCGGGUUAGUAUCCUAACACCUACGGCAUCUUGGGCCUAAA
rnacentral:other from 1 species